rnacentral:rRNA from 1 species
UACGUAGGGUGCAAGCGUUUGUCCGGAAUUAUUGGGCGUAAAGAGCUCGUAGGCGGUUUGUCGCGUCUGCCGUGAAAGUCCGGGGCUCAACUCCGGAUCUGCGGUGGGUACGGGCAGACUAGAGUGUGGUAGGGGAGACUGGAAUUCCUGGUGUAGCGGUGAAAUGCGCAGAUAUCAGGAGGAACACCGAUGGCGAAGGCAGGUCUCUGGGCCACUACUGACGCUGAGAAGCGAAAAGCAUGGGGGAGCGAACAGG